rnacentral:tRNA from 1 species
AAGGACUUAGGCUAAAAUUUAGACCAAGGGCCUUCAAAGCCCUCAGUGGGGGUGAGAGUCCUCCAGUCCUUG